AGCUUCAUUCAGUCUCGUCCCUUAAAGAGCUGAACUGUACCCUGAAACAGGAGGAGAAAGAUGUAUGGGAGCUGACAUUGAGGGGGAAUCCAGAAAUACAGAUUGAGAGCCAAUGUUUUAAUUAUGGAGACCUCAGUAACCAAAUUGGACUGAAGAAACCUUUUCCAGACCUGGAUGCUGAAUAGAUUUGGCAUUUGCUAAGCUCCUGUGUGUCAGCAAAAAUAUAACAUGACUUUUUACAAAGUGGUACAGGACAGCAUCAACAUCUCUAUCAGUAGAAGGAGAAGAUGGGGUUUAAACAUUUUCAUGAACCAUGCGUCAUGGCCAAAGUGUUUAUCUUGAAGGCAGUCUCCAAUAAAUAUUCUACAAGCAAAUCUCUGUUUAAAUCUAUUUCCUGGAAACUUUACCUAAGAGGGUUGAUGUCAGAAGUAAUUUAAGGAAGUAAGAACAAUAAUGGUAUUUUGGAGUUGAAUCAUCAGUUGGUCAUCUGGCAAUGAGGAACUUUUACUGGUAGUAGAUAAAACAUCAUUAACCCCUGGCAUCAUGUAAAUGUGCAGUGUUAAAAUGUUCAUCUGUGAUAAACUAGAAUGAGAUUUUGAUGAAAGCAAAUACACGGGCAAGUGCAGUAUCUCAGGCAUAUCAGAAGUUCAGAAGUACGAGCUAUGAAACUGGAUGGAAGUUCUAAAUAUGAGAUGAUUAACCACCAACUAAAAGACUAUGCAUAAAAGCCAGAAUACCACCUUGGCAGUUAAUGAAGUAACCUUCAUUUUUUUUUUUUUUUUUUUUUGUGAGUGAUUGGCAGAAAACAAAAACCAGCAUCAGACCCAGCACAUAGUUAUAACAGAGUUCCAGAAGAGAUUGAAUACUCAAUCGGGGAAAGUCUGGACCAGCAAGAUGCCUGAUUGGAGAAAUGUAAAGGGUUAAGACAUUGAAUGGAUACAUCUGACUCAAUGUUCUAGAAAAUCUUGAAUCAAAUAAGAUUCCUCUGAACCCUUUAGACAUGUAAUAUUAUCUUACUCUAUUAUGUUCUGCUCUAGUGUACUUCUUUUCUUAAAGAUGAAGCAGAGGUUUCCUUCUGGCAGGAAAACACAUACACUGCUCUCCUCCUUUCCUGGACACCACAACAUAAUUUUUAUAUUCCAUUAUAACCCAGUCAAAAAGUGCUGGCCUUGCUAACAGAGGAAAGAGAUGAUACCCUCUUUGAAGUGGCUGCAAGAACUUGUAAGAUCAGAACCUGGAAGAGUAUGCACGAGACUAGAGUUUGCUUGAUGAAAGAGGCAGAAUAUAAAGUUGAGAAAGUGAAAGUUUACCCAUUUAGGAGCAGUCUCCUGUAUUACAACAUUUAACCUUGGCAAGAAUUCAAGGAAGUGGUGCUAGAAUAGAGCCUAGAUUCAUACCAAAAGCUAUGAUCCAUACAAAAUGACAUAGAAACACUAGAUCUUCUGUGGAAGACAAUAGAAGAUAAUGGAAGAAUGUGUCAAAUGACUCAGAGAAACACGCAUCCUAAAAUGAGGGUGGGGUGCAGCCUGGCUCUUUAUCUAGUCAUGUGGCUGGCAAAGUGUUUAUUCAAGACAACCAUUGUUGAAGUGAUAUCUCUGCAAUCAAAGUUUAAAUCAGACACUUGCAUUACAAAAAAGGGAGAAUCCAACUGUCAGGGAAUGCCACAACUCUCAUUUCCUUUGCUGUAGAGAUUUUUUUUUUUUUUACUUUAAUGUAGUCUCACAUGUCUAAUUUGCUUUUGAUGUCUAUGCUUCAGGUGUCAUAUCCAUGAAAUCAUGGCCAAGAUCAAUGUCAUGAAGCUCCCCCACUCUAUAUUUUCUUCUAAGUGUUUAUAAAUUCAGGUCUUAUAUUGAAACCUUUAAUCUAUUUUGAGUUGAUGUGUAUAUAUGGUGAAAGAUACAGGUGCAUUUUCAUCCUUUUGCAUGUGUCUAUUUAGUUUUCCUACAACAUUUGUUGAAGAGAUGCUCAAUUUCCCCACGGUGUAUUCUUUGCACUCUGUGGAAGAACAGUUGUCCGUAUAUCCAUAGGUUUGUUUCUGCACUCUCUAUUCUGUUCCAUUGGUCUAUAUGUCUAUUUUUGUGCUAGUAUCAUACCACAUUAAUUACCGAGCUUUGUAAUAUAUUUCAAAAUCAGGAAGUGUAAUACUUCCAGCUUUGUUCUUCCAUUUCAAGAUCACUUUGACUAUUUGGAUUUUAUAUAUUUCCAUAUGAAAUCUAACUUUUUUUUUCUAUUUCAGUAAACAUGCCAUUGGAAUUUUAAUGGGAAUCACACUAAAUCUAUAGGUUGCUUUAGGUAGUAUGGCAUUUUAACAAUAAAUGAAUAUGGAUGUCUUUCCAUUAUUUGUGUUUUUAUUAAUUUCUUUCAUCAAUGUAUUUUAAUUGUCAGCUUAAAAAUAUUUAAU